AAAACCCGCAAGGCCGACGGCACCCCGCCGCCGCUGGUGCAAGUCCAGCCGCCCCCGCCGGGGCGGGCGCUCAUGGGUAAACC
ncrna:unclassified sequences Twister-sister ribozyme sequence